AUGAGCCUACGGGAGGCAGCAGUGGGGGAUAUUGCACAAUGGGGGGAACCCUGAUGCAGCGACGCCGCGUGGGUGAAGGAGCGUUUCGGCGCGUAAAGCCCUAUCGGCAGGGAAGAAGAUGACGGUACCUGACCAAGAAGCCCCGGCUAACUACGUGCCAGCCGCCGCGGUAAUACGUAGGGGGCAAGCGUUAUCCGGAUUGACUGGGUGUAAAGGGGGCGCAGACGGCAAUGCAAGCCAGGAG
rnacentral:rRNA from 1 species